rnacentral:rRNA from 1 species
AGAGCGAACGCUGGCGGCAGGCCUAACACAUGCAAGUCGAACGGAUCCUUCGGGAUUAGUGGCGGACGGGUGAGUAACACGUGGGAACGUGCCUUUUGGUUCGGAACAACUCAGGGAAACUUGAGCUAAUACCGAAUGUGCCCUUCGGGGGAAAGAUUUAUCGCCAUUAGAGCGGCCCGCGUCUGAUUAGCUAGUUGGUAGGGUAAAGGCCUACCAAGGCUACGAUCAGUAGCUGGUCUGAGAGGAUGAUCAGCCACAUUGGGACUGAGACACGGCCCAAACUCCUACGGGAGGCAGCAGUGGGGAAUCUUGCGCAAUGGGCGAAAGCCUGACGCAGCCAUGCCGCGUGAAUGAUGAAGGUCUUAGGAUUGUAAAAUUCUUUCACCGGGGAAGAUAAUGACUGUACCCGGAGAAGAAGCUCCGGCUAACUUCGCGCCAGCAGCCGC